UGGGGAAUCUUGGACAAUGGGGGCAACCCUGAUCCAGCAAUGCCGCGUGUGGGAUGAAGGCCUUCGGGUUGUAAACCACUUUUGGCGGGGGCGAAAAUAUCGAGUGCUAAUACCAUUCGGUGAUGACGGUACCCGCAGAAUAAGCACCGGCUAACUACGUGCCAGCAGCCGCGGUAAUACGUAGGGUGCAAGCGUUAAUCGGAAUUACUGGGCGUAAAGCGUGCGCAGGCGGUUAGGUAAGACAGGUGUGAAAUUCCCGGGCUCAACCUGGGAACUGCAUUUGUGACUGCCUGACUAGAGUGCGGCAGAGGGGAGUGGAAUUCCGCGUGUAGCAGUGAAAUGCGUAGAUAUGCGGAGGAACACCGAUGGCGAAGGCAACUCCCUGGGCCUGCACUGACGCUCAUGCACGAAAGCGUGGGGAGCAAACGGAUUANAUNCCCUGGNAGUCCACGCCUAAACGAUGUCGACUAGUUGUUGGACGGGUUACUGUUCAGUAACGAAGCNAACGCG
rnacentral:rRNA from 1 species